rnacentral:rRNA from 1 species
UGGUACCUACGGGGCGCAGCAGUGAGGAAUAUUGGUCAAUGGGCGGGAGCCUGAACCAGCCAAGUCGCGUGAAGGAAGAAGGCACUUAGUAUUGUAAACUUCUUUUGUCGGGGAACAAAGGCGGAGACGCGUCUCCGUAUGAGUGUACCCGAAGAAAAAGCAUCGGCUAACUCCGUGCCCGCAGCCGCGGUAAUACGGAGGAUGCGAGCGUUAUCCGGAUUUAUUGGGUUUAAAGGGUGCGCAGGCGGGUGGU